rnacentral:rRNA from 1 species
AUAACAAUACAGGACUCUUUAGAGGCCCUGUAAUUAGAAUGAGUACACUUUUUAAAUCCUUUAACGAGGAUCUACUGGUGGGCAAGUCUGGUGCAGAGUGACUAGCCCGU